GGGCCCGCACAAGCGGCGGAGCAUGCGGAUUAAUUCGAUGCAACGCGCAGAACCUUACCAGCCUUUGACAUCCUGGUCGCGGUUUGAGGAGACUCUUACCUUCAGUUCGGCUGGACCAGUGACAGGUGCUGCAUGGCUGUCGUCAGCUCGUGUCGUGAGAUGUUGGGUUAAGUCCCGCAACGAGCGCAACCCUCGUCCUUAGUUGCUACCAUUUAGUUGGGCACUUUAAGGAAACUGCCGGUGAUAAGCCGGAGGAAGGUGGGGAUGACGUCAAGUCCUCAUGGCCCUUACAGGCUGGGCUACACACGUGCUACAAUGGCGAUGACAGUGGGCAGCGACCCCGCAAGGGUGAGCUAAUCUCCAAAAGUCGUCUCAGUUCGGAUUGUCCUCUGCAACUCGAGGGCAUG
rnacentral:rRNA from 1 species